UAACUAUUGCUAUCUGGCGUAAUAAGUUUCGCUGGGAUGGUAUUGUGAAGCGCGCUUCUAAUCCUCUUCGGACAAUUACUUUGACUCUGGCCUCAAAUCAGGUAGGACUACCCGCAUAACUUAAGCAUAUCAAUAAUCGGAGGAAAAGAAACUAACAAGGAUUCCCUUAGUAACGGCGAGUGAACCGGGAAAAGCUCAAAUUUGAAAUCUGGCUGUCUUCGAUAGUCCGAGUUGUAAUCUAUAGAAGCGUUUUCCGUGCUGAACUGUGUAUAAGUGUCUUGGAACAGACUAUCAAAGAGGGUGACAAUCCCGUACUUUACACAAUCAUCAGUGCUCUGUGAUACGUUCUCUACGAGUUGAGCUGCAUUCCCAAACAACUCGACUCGUAGAGAACGUAUCACAGAGCACUGAUGAUUGUGUAAAGUACGGGAWUGUCAGCCMWMWUKGRURGUMWRUUCCAAGACACUUAUACACAGUUCAGCACGGAAAACGCUUCUAUAGAUUACAACUCGGACUAUMGAAGCGUUUUCCGUGCUGAACUGUGUAUAAGUGUCUUGGAACAGACUAUCAAAGAGGGUGACAAUCCCGUACUGUUWMACWMUCAUCAGUGCUCUGUGAUACGUUCUCUACGAGUCGAGUUGUUUGGGAAUGCAGCUCAAAAUGGGUGGUAAAUUCCAUCUAAAGCUAAAUAUUGGCGAGAGACCGAUAGCGAACAAGUACCGUGAGGGAAAGAUGAAAAGCACUUUGGAAAGAGAGUUAAACAGUACGUGAAAUUGUUAAAAGGGAAACGAUUGAAGUCAGUCGUGUUUAUUGGAUUCAGCCGGUCUUCGGUGUACUUCCUUUAAACGGGUCAACAUCAGUUUUGUCCGGUGGAUAAAGGCAGUAGGAAUGUGGCUCCCUCGGGAGUGUUAUAGCCUAUUGUCACAUACACUGGAGGAGACUGAGGACUGCAGCUCGCCUUUUUGGCCGGGGUUCGCCCACGUUCGAGCUUAGGAUGUUGACAUAAUGGCUUUAA
rnacentral:rRNA from 1 species